ACGGGGUGCAGCAGGCGCGAAACCUCUGCAAUAGGCGAAAGCUUGACAGGGUUACUCUGAGUGGUUUCCGCAAAGGAAAUCUUUUGGCACCUCUAAAAAUGGUGCAGAAUAAGGGGUGGGCAAGUCUGGUGUCAGCCGCCGCGGUAAUACCAGCACCCCGAGUGGUCGGGACGAUUAUUGGGCCUAAAGCAUCCGUAGCCGGUUCUGCAAGUCUUCCGUUAAAUCCACCUGCUUAACAGAUGGGCUGCGGGAGAUACUACAGAGCUAGGAGGCGGGAGAGGCAAGCGGUACUCAGUGGGUAGGGGUAAAAUCCGUUGAUCCAUUGAAGACCACCAGUGGCGAAGGCGGCUUGCCAGAACGCGCUCGACGGUGAGGGAUGAAAGCUGGGGGAGCAAACCGGAUUAGAUACCCGGGUAGUCCCAGCUGUAAACGAUGCAGACUCGGUGAUGAAUAGACUUAGUGUUUAUUCAGUGCCGCAGGGAAGCCGUUAAGUCUGCCGCCUGGGGAGUACGGUCGCAAGACUGAAACUUAAAGGAAUUGGCGGGGGAGCA
rnacentral:rRNA from 1 species